rnacentral:rRNA from 1 species
AUGCUCUCCGCGGCCUCCGCCCUCCACGCCGUCUUCGCCCCGCGCGCCGCCACCUUCGCCUACCGCGCCCGCCACGCCGCCGUCCGCUACCUCCGCUCCAUCCCCAACGCCACCUGGUUCUUCCGCGUCGCCAUCCCGCGCCAGCCCUUCGCCCCCCGCCACGUCCGUCGCCUUCUCGACGCCAUCUCCGGGAAGGUCGACGACCCGGGCUUCCUGGACUAUCUGCGCGAGCUGUUCCUUUCCGAUGCGAUAGCCUUCGAGCUCGGCGGCUCCGACCUCUGCCGCGGGCUCCCUCAAGAGUCCGAGCUCACCAGCACGCUGCUCAACAUAUUCUUUGAUCCUGUGGAUAGAGAGGUGAUGGCCAUCCGGGAGGAGGUGCACAAGAAGAAUCCUAGAGUCAAGGAUGAGAGCGUCCGGCAUACGCCUGUGAGAGUGUAUGCGGUCCGGUAUCUCGACGAGACGAUGGUUGUGACGUCCGGGUCGAAGAUGCUCACACUUGAGGUCAGGGAUAGGAUCCUCACAGUGUUGGAGAGGGACUUGGAGGUGAAGGUUGACAGGUUUGGUAGCUCACUCCACAGUGCAGUGUCAGAGAAGAUGGAAUUCCUGGGGAUGGAGUUCCAAGCUGUGCCGCCAUCAGUCUUACACCCUCCCAUGUCUGAGAAGGCCAAGAGGGCAAGAAAGAUGUAUCUGAAGAGGAAGGCAGCAGAGGCACAGGAGCUGAAGAAUGCCCGGGAGACACGGAGGAAGAAGCUUGGGUUGAAGAUACUGAACCACCUGUUCAAGAAGGUGAGGCGUGGGCAUGAGUUCGAGUUUGGCUUCCGAAUUGAGGAUGAAGUGUGCCAGGAGUUCAAGGGUUGGGCAGAGGAGACAGUGGUCGAAUACUUCAAGUCACAGGAGCAUCGCCGUUAUUGGCACCGAUUGUUCACAUCCGGUGACUUCUUGUCACUGAAUAGGGUUAGGGAUCAGUUGCCACCAGCAUUGGUGGACUCCUAUGAUCAAUUACAGGAAACAUUUGACAGGUUCUUGAUGCCGAGGAGGGGCCAUGACAUGACUGAGGACGAGGAGAUGCUAGCAGAGGAGGAGGACGAGAGACAAUACGAGAAGAGGAUUGUUGAGGACUUGACAGAGUUGAAGAUGAUGGUCAAUUGA